GUUUUGCAAAAUCAGUAUUUCCCUACUCUACAUCCACAUGGUUCGAGUAGGCCAACCUACCACAGGCUCUUCCCUAAACAUUAAACAUUGACCUGAAGACUAAAAAUGACUCCAACUGAUUUACGCUGGUGGAUGCACACUCGAAAAACUAGCUCCACCAUCCCUGGAUUCUGCCCAUACUGGGGACAACAUUAGAGAAUGGUCUAUAUGGAAUACACAAUACCAAUGGAAAUAUUCCCUCCCUAAGCAGAAGACUGAAGCACUUUUCAAUUAUUUUUGCAGGGCACAGUGGCUCACACCUGUAAUCUCAGCACUUUGGGAGGCCGAGGUGGGCGGAUCACGAGUUCAGGAGUUGGAGACCAGCCUGACCAACAUGGUGAAAACCCGUCUCUACUAAAAAUACAAAAAUUAGCUGUGCGUGGUGGCGCACACCUAGAGUCCCAGCUACUCAGGAGGCUGAGGCAGGAGAAUUGCUUGAACCACAGAGGCGGAGGUUGCAGUGAGCAGAGAUCACGCCAUUGCACUCCAGCCUGGGAGACAGAGCAAGACUCUGUCAAAAAAAAAAAAAAAGUUAUUUUUGUAAAGUAAACAGUUGUUUUAUACAAAAUUUAUUCAUAACCUAUUACAUUUUGCAAAUAAGUAGCUUAUGCACAUUCUUAAGUUAUAACAUCAAUACUAAAUAAUUAAGAAUGAGUAGCUAAGGAAAUUGGAAUAAAUUUCCUUAGAAAGUAGAACAUAUUUUUAAAGGUAAUGUAUGACAGAAUUCUUUGUAUAUGUCAGGAUUCUCUUAAUUGUUACCAGAAAAGCAGCUCAAGCUAAGUUAUUUAUAAAUGAGAGUUGCUAUAGAACACCAAGGUAGCUCAGAAUAAAGAAGCCAUCAUUAUGAAACAUGAAGAUGAGAGCAACUCUGAAAUCAUCAGUUACUGGAUCGAGAGACAGGAACAGUUUUAAGAUUAUCUACAUUCAUAUUUUUUCUUCUUCAUUAAAAAAAAUUAUUCUUAAUUGACAAAUAAUAAUUGUAUAUUGUUAUGGGGUAAAAUGUGAUUUUUGUUCUAUGUAUUCAUUGUAGAAGUUUAAUCAAGCUAAUUAAUAUCCUAUCACCUAAUUUGUCAUUUUUUGUGUUGAGAAUAUUAAAAAUUUAUACUUUCAGUAAUUUUGAAACAUACAAUAUAUUAUAAUUAACUGUGGUCACUGUGUGGUGCAAUAUAUCACUCAAACUUAUUCCUCUAGUCUAACUGAGACUUUGAACAUUUUGAAAACAUUUUCUCUUUCCCCAUCCCUCCUUCUUCCCUGACCAGCCUCUGGUAACCACCCUUCUAUUCUGUUUUUAUGAGAUUGACUUUCUUAGAUGACACAUGUAAAUGAAAUCAUACAGUAUUUUUCUUUCUGUACCUGGCUUAUUUAAUUUAGCAUAACAUCCUCCAGUUCCAUCCAUGUUGUUACAAAUGAUGGCAUUUCCUUCUGUUUUAAGUUUGUAUAAUACUCCAUUGUGUAUACAUAUCACAUUUUCUUUAUUUAUUCAUCUAUUGAUGGAUACUUAGGACACUUCCAUAUCUUGGCUACUGUAAACAAUGCUGAAAUAAAUAUAAGAAUGCAGAUAUCUAUUCAACAUACUAAUUUCAGUUCCUUUCACUGUAUACUCAGAGAUGGGAUUGCUGGGUCAUAUGGUAAUCCUAUUUUUAGUUUUCUGAGAAAUCUCCAUAAUACCAAAAUAGCUGUACUAAGUUACAUUUCCACCAACAGUGUACAAGAGUUCCCUAUUUUCCACAUCCUUGCCAACACUUGUUAUCAUUUGUCAUUUUUCUAAUAGAAAUUCUAACAGAUGUGAGUUGGUAUCUCAUUGUGGUUUUAAUUUACAUUUCCCUGAAUAUUAGAGAUAUUGAGCAUUUUCUCAUACAGCUGUUGGCCAUAUCUCUAUUUUUUGAGAUGUCUGUUCAGUUCCUUUGCCAACUUUUUAGUUGGGUUAUUUGUUUCUUUCCUGUUGAGUUGUUUGAGUUCCUUAUAUAUUUUAGAUAUUAGCCCCUUGUUAAAUGUAUGCUUUGUAAAUAUUUUCUCCCAAUUUGCGGUUGUCUCUUUAUUCUCUUUUCUUGAUUUUUUUUCCUAUGGCUAUAGUGAUUUCCAUGUAAUAGGGGAAUGGUUUUAGUUGGCCAAGAGUUUACAAACUCAUAAACAAACAACUAGAAAGCAAAGGUAAUUUCCUUACAGGACAAAUUAAAACAAAAUUAGAGAAAGACUCUGGCUCAGGUUGUGUCAUACAGCCAGCCAUAAAUCCAUCACUGUGGCUGUGGGGGUAAAAUGCUAAUAUUAGCUACUUUGAGUCAGAUAUUUCAGUAAUUUCCCCUGGUGUCACAUGACCUAUCCCCACAUCCCAUUCCCUUGCCAGCUCUGAUUUCAGCUGCAGCAACAUUAGACAAUGCUUUGAAAGUUCAGACUUAUUCUGGAACUAUUUCACCUCAACCUAAAUCCAGCUGUUAUUCUGCUUUCAUUCUCAGGGCCUUCAUGAAGCCAUAAGAGCCCAUGUACUUAAGAAGCCUGGUAAGAUAGGGAAGUCAAUGUUCCAGAGAGCAAUCCUCCAUCAGUGGACAAUGGGAACUGGGGAAGGGGAGCUUUUGAUAAUUCUGAGAAGCCCUAGUUUCCACAGUGGUAACCAGAUUAAUAAUGCACCUCUAUGUUGAUCUUUCCCUGUAUCAUUCUUGCCAUUCCCUCAUUCUGGCUUCAUGAUAAUGUCCCAAAUAAACUAUCCUUUCCCAGUUCUUAUCUCAGGCUCUGCUUUCAAGGGAACUCAAACUAAGAUGCCAUCACUUUAUCAAUUAUUUUAUCCAGGAAAUUUGUUUUCUCUUAUUUUUUCUUCUAAUCAAUUAUUUUAAUUUUUUUAAAAAUGCUGGUCCCCCUUUAUUCACCAACUUUAAAUUUUGGUAUGGUUUCCACAUCUUCUCUAUCUAUGCUGUCUGAAUAAAUUAUAUGCACUCUCAUGUCUUUACAAAUCAUCUGUAAAUUUGGUGAUUACAAAUUUAUAUUUCCAAUUGAGACUUAUUCCUUGUAUUAGACUUUUUACCCAAAUGACUACUAAAAUUGCUUGACAGUCUAUUAGGCAUCUUAGAAUUAGCAUGUCCAAAGAAAAACUCUCAAUACUCGUUCCAAACGUGCUCUUUUCACAGUCUCCCCAACUCAAUACAUGCCAACUCCAUUAUACCAGUUAUUCAGGCUCCAAAGCUGGUGUGGUCCUUGAAACAUCUUUCUUUCACUUUCUACAUUGAAUCAAUCACCAAAUUUCAAAAUAUACCUAAGAUUCAAUUACAUCUUACCACCUUUACUUCUAGCAGCUUGGAGAAUUUCAGUAGUAUCUUAAGUGAUCUCCAUUCUCCACCAUUGCACUUCUAAAGACUCUUCUCCAAACAGCACUGAGAAUGAUCCUUAGAAACAUACAUCAAAUGUUAACAUUCUAUCAUUCAACACGUUCCAACAGUUUACUAUAGCAUUCAGAGGAAAAGCUAAAGUCUUCAUAAAAUUAUACAUAAUCUGAAAGUUUUUCUUCUAUUACUGUCACCUACUUCACUUCAUUCUAGCCACAUUGACUUCUUUGCUUUACUUGAAUAAGCCAAGCAUAUUUUCCCAAAAAUCCCCACAGUUCAAACCUUUUCUUCCUAUAGGUUCCUACUCAUGUCACCUAAUCAGAGAGGACUUUCAUGAAUACCAUGUAUAAAAUAUUCCUUUAAUACGUCUCUCCAUAUUCCUUUCACCUCUUUAGUAAAUGUCAUUGUACAUAAUACCAGUUGAAAAAUACAUUUUUUCUUUGUUUGUUGUCUUUCUUUCCUCUCUAGAUUUUAAGCUUUAUGAGGGGAAGGAAUUUUCCACUUUUUUUACCUCUAUAGUUACAACACCUCCAAGAGAGCUUGACAUGUAGUAGGCUCUCUACUUAUAUUUGAUGAGUGAAUGGAAGAAGAUGGAUGAAAGAAGAUAGUUCUAGUUCAGUUCAUGUGACUGAAUCAGUAAGUCAGAAGGGAGGAAAGGAAGUACUACUAAAUGAAACCUGAAACAUGAGUAAUUUGGGUAAUUAUUGGUAACCAAUGGGAGCAGAAUGGUGCCUUCCCCAUCCCCACUGGAAUACAAUAUAGCCCUUUACUGUUACUGGAAUUGAGUUACAAAUGUGAAUCUAUGUUUUUCAGGGACAAACACACACACACACAAUUAACAACAUCAGGGGGAUAAAAUAUAUGAGAGCUUUGUGAAAAGCACAACAAAUUUUGGUUUAAACAUGGAGAAAAUGUUUUUCUUUAGGCCUCAAAAAAGAGGAUAUUAUGUAAAAAACAGCCUCAAAAAUACAAUUACAGUAAAUAUAGCAAUAUCACUUUUUAUUUAUUAUGCCUAUGGUUUUAUAUGUAACAAGAAUGCAAUGUUUUCAAGAUACUUUAUUUUUUAUAGUUUUUGAUGUUUUUUAAAAAAAUGUAUUCUUGAUAAUUCAUCUGAAUUGAAAAUUGAUCAUUUGAUAGACAAAUAUUACAGAGGAAACCCAGUGGUUAAUGACAAUUGAAUGUACUACAGAAUCUAUUAUAACUUUCAAAAAUUGUAAUUUAAAAAUAAAUCUUCCUUUAUAAUAUCUUUAUAUUCCCCACAUCAAAAUGCUGCAAUCAACCCAUUGUAUCAUUAUGAAAACUGGAUUAAAAUCCAUCCAUCUUUUUUAUUACAAUUCUGAAGUGUUUCUCAAAUCAAGGAAAAUUUAAUAAAUCUUUUCAGGACUUAAUAAAAGAACAGAAGAUUUAUAUAUCUAAUAAAAAAUGCAUUCAGUUCCAAUGGUUUUAUUUAAUUUGUUUUCAUAUGUCUUCUUAUCACCUAUUAGAUAUCAUUUUGUUUCUCAAAAUCCAGAGUGGAAAUCACUUCUAAAAUAAUUUUUAUAGAAAAAAAUAUAGAUUACUCAGGUAUUCCAUAUGUCUGUCCUUUAAAAAAUGUGGAAGAUUUGAGAGUAGCUUGCACAAUCAGAGGACAUCAGGGGAGGGUCUAUUUGGCUAUUGAACUUCAGAUCAAUUUUGCGAUUUUAACACUGUUUUUUUCAUAACUCAUACAGAUUUCCUCUAGAGAGUUUCAGAGAAUGAAGAAGAGUUAAAAUUAAGCAUUUUGACAUGCAUUUGAAAUUCAUUUCUGUAGCUAAACUACAGAAUCCAAGCCUCCUCUUCUUUUUGUUUUCAAUAGCAAAGAGGCUACCUUACUGAUGAAUAUUUCAUAACAUGUCAAAUUGUGUUGUAAUCCUUCUUUUCUCAAGGAGAAAUAAGUGUAGGUCUCAUUUAAAAGCUCUUUUGAGUAUUUAUAGCUCAUCAAUUAAGAAUUAAGAGCAAUUAAAGAGGAAUCUGUAAGGUUAACAAUUUGCUGAUAAUUAGAAUAUGCCUAUUCCGAAUAUAAGAAUCUGAGGAUUUGAAUAAUGGGGGUGGCUUUGUCUCCUGAAGAUAAUAUUGGAUGAUGAUGGUAAUAUUAAUUUCCUUUAACAAAGUAUGCCCUUCCUUUGAGGACCAGAAGAGAAGUUUUAAAACUGAUAUGGAGCACAAAAUAAAUGAGAACUCAGCACUGGCAUAAGCUUUCUUAAGCCACAUGAGUACUUCAUUACAGCACUUACCAAGAGCACUAUGCGAUGACUACACCAGAGCAGACUAGAAACCUUUACUCUAGACCCUCUCUCAUUUAACUAAUUAUGUGACCUUGCACAAACUCCUUAACAGUUUGGAGUCUCAUUUUUUUAUUUUUAUAAAAUACCAGGAACUUUCAC
rnacentral:lncRNA from 1 species